rnacentral:misc_RNA from 1 species
GAAUUGCUUGCAAGCUAUAAAAAGGUAGGUGUAGGAAUGCUUCUUCUUUUAGCUCAAAUUGAUAAUGUUGUCAACUUGUCACUUUAUUUUCGUUGUCAUCCAUGUAGACCUAUUAGGAGUUCAACAAUGAUGAAGUUUUAGAGGAUGAAUCUGAAUAUACCUCUGCUUUGUUAGACAACUUGUUGGAUUUGCCAGACCAUAAAGAUGUCGAAUGAAGCAGCAAGAUGUGUCCAUGGAGGAAAAUGUUGAACCUGAUGAAUUAUUACCAGUUAAACAUCAUCUUGUAAAUGAACAAGAAGUAGGAAAUGAGAAUAUUGCUGAAGAAGGAAAUGAUAGUGAGAAUAGGAUUGCUGAUGCU